UGGGGAAUAUUGCGCAAUGGGCGAAAGCCUGACGCAGCGACGCCGCGUGAGGGAUGAAGGUCUUCGGAUCGUAAACCUCUGUCAGCAGGGAAGAACGGUCACUGUGCUAAUCAGCAGUGAAUUGACGGUACCUGCAAAGGAAGCACCGGCUAACUCCGUGCCAGCACCGCGGUAAUCACUCGCU
rnacentral:rRNA from 1 species